rnacentral:rRNA from 1 species
AGAAUCAACGCUGGCGGCGUGCCUAACACAUGCAAGUCGAACGCGGUUACCCCGCAAGGGGUGACUGAGUGGCGAACGGGUGAGUAACACGUGGGUGACCUGCCUUCGAGUGGGGGAUAACAUCCCGAAAGGGGUGCUAAUACCGCAUGACAUCCUGCCUUUAAAGAGGUGGAGAUUAAAGCUGGGGAUCGUAAGACCUGGCGCUUGAAGAGGGGCCCGCGUCCGAUUAGCUAGUUGGUGGGGUAACGGCCUACCAAGGCGACGAUCGGUA